rnacentral:misc_RNA from 1 species
GAUGAAGAACGCAGCGAAAUGCGAUAAGUAAUGUGAAUUGCAGGAUUCAGUGAAUCAUCGAAUCUUUGAACGCACAUUGCGCCCGCCAGCACUCUGGCGGGCAUGCCUGUUCGAGCGUCAUUUCAACCAUCAAGCCCCCAGGGGCUUGUGCUGGGGCCCUGCGGCUGCCCGCAGGCCCUGAAAACCAGUGGCGGGCUCGCUAGUCACACCGAGCGCAGUAGCACAUCUCGCUCAGGGCGUGCGGCGGGCUCCUGCCGUGAAACCCCCCACUGUAACCCCAAAGGUUGACCUCGGAUCAGGUAGGAAUACCCGCUGAACUUAAGCAUAUCAAUAAGCGGAGGA